CAUCGUCGAAAAACACCGCACACAACGCCUAUGCAGGUCAACGUCUACAGCCAUCACGUCCUUGUCGCUCAAUGGAGCUAUAGCAAACUUCCACUGCUCUUUCCAUCAGUGACCUCUGUUUGCUUUGAUUCGGAUUGGAAGAGAUGAAGUGCGGUAAAGUGUUGCAUGACAAAGGAGGUACAUUGCCUGAUGAGCGCACCUGGUCUACUUGGCUACGCGGUUUCACUGCCCUGUGUACAAAUGUAGUGAGAAUUUUGAAAUUCCUCUUCAAGAGAUUAAGGCUUGAAGAAUCCACUAAAGCUAUAUGUUUGGAGUUCCUACAGCAUCUCAAAUUCAGCGAGAGGUAGAAAAUAGCGCUUUUAAGGUAACGUUAAUUCACAAUUCAAGCUGGUAAAUAUGUUGAUAUCUUCUUCAUUUUCAUUGUUACUAAGGAGUUUUAACGAUUUGAGGUUCUGUUCUUCCUUUUCCAAACAUAAAAUUUGAAGAUUUCUAUCACUUUGUUUAACAAUACAAUUUUCUAAUCUCAUUAUACGUUAUUGACAACAACAAAAAUAAAAUAAAAUAACUGGGAGCUAUUGAUAACUUGUAGAAUAAUGCUAUUUAUAGUCGCCUAUUGUGAUAGUUGACCUACGUGGCAUCCUACGGGCGUGCUAUGUGGUAUUAAUUUUUAAUUACAUGAAUUAAAAAGGAAAUGUGUUGGCUCACUUUUCAUCCUCCUUUCACGCAUUUCUUUCUUCCCAGAAACCUCUCAACUCACGUCUUUCCAAAUCUCCUCUCCCAAAUCGGUGGAUUCUCCACAAUCCGCCAAAGAUCAACCACCACAUUUGCUAUCCACUGAAUAUUGGUCGCCAGUGUGUCUCCAUAGUUGGCCAUCGGUGUUCUAAUCAACAAGAAAUUGGUGCCCAAUCUGCAAAAUAGUCACAUUUUUUAUUUAUAAUAGUUGACUGUUGGUAUGGCAAUCUUGUUCAAUCUAUAAUUCUGGAAUGGCAUAUGAUGGAAAAAAGUGAUAUGUCUUGUCAGUUUAUUUGAUUUCAACGGGCUGGGAGUCAUCUUCCAUCUGUUUACCCUCCAACACAAUGGAAGAUAUUUCAACUUCAAAAUGUUCCAGGAUAGCACAAUCUUUAGAUUUAAUGUUCAUCCAAGAGUUUAUUGUUUUGAAUUGAUAUUGAGAUUGUAAAACAUAUUGAAAUCCAUGUACUGCAAUUGUUUUAGCAAAACAAAAAUAGGUUUGUUUAAUCAGGUUUUCAGCUUUUGAACAGAUGGCACAGAUAUCACAUUUCUUUCAUGACAUUUGGUAUUUUUUGAAUUUUA